ACCUGAAAGAGCAGAGCCAGGUUUAUCGAUUGAAUUUCCGAGAUUAGCAGGGCUAGGAUGAUAUCUUAAAUAGGUCAUACUAAGUGCAGGGACUAACAAGAACUGCUGCUCUUCUGAGUUAAGUUUUUGAUUAGAAUUUGCUGUGUCAAGAACUAAAGAGCUGAGGCCAGCAGGCUGGAGGGAGUCGGACUGAGAAGAUGGCAGACUCUGAUGACAAGCCUGCUGCCGUAAGGUGUGUGAUAUUCCUUAUUACUUGAGCAUGAACCAUCAGACAGAAGAGGAAAUCUGGAUGCUCAGCCUGAAUGUGGACUAUGAAGAUUAGAAAAAAAAAAAUUAUAUAUAAUAAUAAAUAAUGUAUUUUAGAAAAUUAAA